GACGAACGCUGGCGGCGUGCUUAACACAUGCCAGUCGAACGGAAAGGCCCUGCUUGCAGGGUACUCGAGUGGCGAACGGGUGAGUAACACGUGGGUGAUCUGCCCUGCACUUCGGGAUAAGCCUGGGAAACUGGGUCUAAUACCGGAUAGGAGCCAUUUUUAGUGUGAUGGUUGGAAAGUUUUUUCGGUGUAGGAUGAGCUCGCGGCCUAUCAGCUUGUUGGUGGGGUAAUGGCCUACCAAGGCGGCGACGGGUAGCCGGCCUGAGAGGGUGGACGGCCACAUUGGGACUGAGAUACGGCCCAGACACCUACGGGAGGCAGCAGUGGGGAAUAUUGCACAAUGGGCGCAAGCCUGAUGCAGCGACGCCGCGUGGGGGAUGACGGCCUUCGGGUUGUAAACUCCAUUCGCUAGGGACGAAGCUUUUUGUGACGGUACCUAGAGAAGAAGCACCGGCUAACUACGUG
rnacentral:rRNA from 1 species